rnacentral:ncRNA from 1 species
GAUAACAGGCUGAUCUCCCCCAAGAGUUCACAUCGACGGGGAGGUUUGGCACCUCGAUGUCGGCUCAUCGCAACCUGGGGCUGAAGUCGGUCCCAAGGGUUGGGCUGUUCGCCCAUUAAAGCGGUACGCGAGCUGGGUUCAGAACGUCGUGAGACAGUUC